UCGGUCCCUCCCGCGUAUCUACGGUGCUGCUGCUCCUGGUCUCCAGCAAAGGUGCGUCCCUUUUUUUCAAGCAUUGCAUAUUAGCUUCGGUGAGACGGCGUCCACGAUGACAAGGCCAUGGUGGGGUAUGUUGGUUGAUGGUGUGUGUGGUGGAGGGCUUCGAAGCGUCUGAUGGCGGGGUGAGGGUCGAGAGAAAUCCGUGUCGAGGUUUGACGCCGACAAUGGGGACGUCUGCGUGCGCCACCAUCCCUUCCUGAAGGGCGUCAGUUUUUACCCCUACCCAACUCCCUCGGCGUAUCAGGGGAAACCCCGGGACUUGUCCGGGCAGCAGCGUCGUCGCCGUCGCUUCCCCUCCUGAGUGUGUUGCUUGUUUCGCGUGGUUCGAAGCACUAGGAGCGUGGUGGGACAACUUUCACAUCGCGUGUCUUCUUCGUUUUGUUGAUCCGCCUUGUCGGCGUUGUUUUGUUUUCCGCGUGCGGAGGCAGCCAUUGGCCACCGCCGGGAUGCGUCGCGCGCUGGGGUUGCCGCGCCAGGGCCGGGAGAUGAGGGCCUUGUGCCUCUCGUGGCGCUGCCUCCUAAUUUGUACUGAGGCCAAUAGUCGUGGUCGCGCCAGGAGCAUCAUCGGGCCGAGGGCUGCCGCGUGACGCAGCGGCCACGCCAUCGCCUCGCAUUGUGCAUUGUGUGGCGCCUCCGUGUGGGCUGGGGAACCGGACCUGACCGCGGGCUGCCGCGGGAGGUUGCCUCCGCGUCGUGCGGCUUGGAGGGAGGGGCUCUCCGCGAUUCCGCGCCUUGAGAGGGUGUGGUCGAGCCGUCAUUUGGAGGAACAGCCUCCAUCUACCUGGGGGAUGCGGCCGUCGUUCCACGGCUCGGCAUCGUGGACGUCAUCUCCGCAAUGGCUGGUGCUCGCCGGUGACUCCCCGCGGCCUCCACCCGAAAGAAUCGCCUUCGCCCUCCAUGUAAUAAACUCGGCAUCAAACAUAGCGAUCCUGGCGACGGGCGUAGACAAGGCAAAGGCCGUGCAUUUGGCCGUGUCUGACAGCAGCGACGGUCCAGACGCCCCCGCGUCCCUGCCUGCCAAGAUGGUCCAGCCAACGCACGGGAAGCCGGUGUGGUUUCUGGACAAGGCGGCAGCCUCAUCACCCGAGGCGCUGCCUGACGAUGCGUACGAGCAGCAGCAUCGUGAGUACUAGCUAACUGAGAACAAAGCGGGGAUUCCUUUGCUUUGAAAAAUGGAGGUGUGUAGGUACUUAGGUGCGUGGAUCAUGUGAUGGAACAAGGUUUGCUUCGUCCGACGCCUUUAGUCCUCUUCGUGUUAGUCCGACGCAUGGUUCCUUCCAUGGAAUCGGAAGGGCCGUCAGUUCUGGCGGACGACGGAGAUGGUUUCGUGCGGCAUUGAUGUUUAUGCGCGCGUUGUGGCCUCAGAGUUGAGAACAUUAAAACCUGAAUUGUGGCCAGUUUUUAUGGUAUUGUGAACCCCAUUCUAUCUAGCUAAGGUUAGAUUCUUCCGCAGGCAUGUUUUUCUUUGUAUGUACUCCCUCCGUUCCAAAUUAGUCUUCGUAGUUUUAGUUCAAAUAUGAACUAAAACCACGACGAGUAAUUUGAAACGGAGGGAGUAGCUGGUAUGGUCCUGUGCGUUGUUUGGAGCACCACCUAGAACCAGGGCUAUAGAUUCGUCUCGUUUUACCUGAUGUGGGUUCUGUGUUUUUCUGCCGUGACAUUUCUCGCGAUUUCUUGUCUUUGCCAGAUAGAAUUUGGUUCGAUGUAAUUUUGGUGAAUUGCUGCCCAAAAGGUUCUGAUCGUUCUUCAAAUAGGUGGCUGUACAAUGCAUUGCCAUUAUCCGCAUUGUUUUUUGCCACUUUGCAUACUUGUCCCAGGUCAGUCUGGUUGAGAUAAUAUAGGCAAAAAACCAACAUCUACAUGAUGAUUGGUUGUGUGCAUACUCUUAAACACUCUGAUGCGGCUAUUUUUGUAACCCGCCACUUGUUCAUCGCAUGCUUCCCAUAAACUGUAAACCCUCGGAACUCUUCCUCGAAACACCACAUACCACUUGUCCUAAUAUGGCAGAAGAGCAAACAAUUCAAGCAGUAAGCAUGCAUGAUCAUACAACACAACAAGUUCAUCCUAUCACUAGUAUGGUGUGAUCCUACUAUCAAAUCCAAAAAAUGGUGUCAUCCUACUACCGCUAAUUCGUCAUCGGCAUGAGGGUUACUAUACUACCUCAUAGAAAAUAUGCAGGCCAACAUCAAGAGUUUAUCAAUCCCUUUUCAAAUUCAUGUUCUUUUUAAAAUUCAUGAUUUUUUUAUAAAAAUAGAAUAUUUUAAAAUCAAUUAAGAAAAUAAAAUUGGUGAACUUUUUUUAUCUUCGUGAACUUUUUCCAAAUAAACAGUCAUUUUCUAAAUUUUGAUUCUUUUUAAAUUCGUAAUCUUCUUGCAAACUUUCACCAAAUUCAUGAUUUUUUUCUCUAAUUUGUGAUCUUUUUUCAAAUUCAUGAACUUUUUAAAAUUCGUGACUUCUCUAAACCUACAUCAAGCAAUGAACUUUUUAAAAUUCAUUUUAUGGGGGAUUGAUAAACUCUAGAUGUUGGCCUGUAUAUUUUUUAUGAGGUAGUAUAAUAACCCUCAUGGCGAUGACCAAUUAGCGGUAGUAGGAUAACGCCAUCUUUUGGAUUUGAUGGUAGGAUGACACUAUAAUAGUGGUAGGAUGAACUUGUUGUGUUGUAUGAUCAUGCAUGCUUACUUAUAUUUCAUGUCUAGUGUGCUCCAUUGCUUGAUGCUUGAAUUGUUUGCUCUUUUGCCAUAUUAGAACAAGUGGUAUGUGGUGUUCCGAGGGAGAGUUCUGAGGGUGAGUUCGGAGGGUUUACAAUUUACGGGAAGUAUGCGAUGGACAAGUGGCAGGCUACAAAAAUAUCUGCUUCAAAAUAUUUAAGAGUAUGCAGGCAACCAAUCAACAUGCAGAUGUUGGUUUUUUGUCUGUAUUAUCUCAACCAGGCUGACAUGGGACAAGUAUGCAAAGUGGCAAAAAACGGUGCGGAUAAUGGCAAUGCACAUGCUUGUACAGCCACCUAUUUCAAGAAUGAAAUUUCAGAACCUUUCCUUUUGGGCAGCAAUUCAGCAAAAUUACGUCGAACCAAAUUCCAUCUCGCAAACACAAGAAAUCACGAGAAAUAUGACGGCAGAAAAUCACUGAACCCACAUCAGGUAAAACCAGACGAAUCUAUAGCUCUGGGUUCCAGGCAGCGCUUCAAAUAACAGACAGGAUCAGCCACACACAAGAAAAAACACGCCUGCAAACGAAUCCAAUCUUAGCUAGAUAGAAUGGAGUUCCCAAUACCAUAAAAACUGGCCACAAUUCAGGUCUUAAUGUUCUCAACUCUGAGGCCACAACGCCCGCAUAAACAUCAACGCCGCACAAAACCAUCUCCGUCGUCUGCCGAAACUGACGGCGCUUCCGAUUUCCCGCAACAAACCAUCCGUCGGACUAACACGAAGAGGACUAAAGGCGUCGAACGAAGCAAACCUUGUUCCAUCAUAUGAUCCACCCACCUAACUACUUACACGCCUUAAUUUUUCACAGCAAAGGAAUCUCCACUCUGUUCUCACUAAGCUAGUACUCACAGAUGCUGCUGCUGGUAGGCAUCGUCAGACAGCGCCUCGAGUGAUGAGGCGGCCGCCUUGUCCAGAAACCACACCAGCUUCCCGUCCGUUGGCUGGACCAUCCUGGCAGGCAGCGGGGCGGCGGCGUCUAGGCCGUCGCUGCUGUCAGACACGGCUGAAUGCACAGCGUUUGCCUUGUCGACGCCCGUCGCGAGGAUCGCGAUGUUUGACGCCGAGUUUAUCACAGGGAGGGUGAAGGUGAUUCUCUCGGGUGGAGGCUGCGGGGAGUCCGUGAUGUAGGUGACCCAGUCGUCCUUCAGCUCGAGGGCUUGGUGGUUAGGGAACAAUGAGGCCACAUGUCCGUCGGAGCCCAUGCUGAGGAGGAUGAGAUCAAACUUGGGGCAGUCGUUGCUCUCUGAGACUCCUAUAGUGCGGAUCUUGACCAGCUGCCUGAUGACAAAUUCGUAGUCCGUUGCUGCGUCCUCCACCGUGGCGCCGUCAUUUAUGGAGUAGACAUGGCCACUCAGAAUAGGUACCUAGAAAAAAUUUAGAUACAGCAGAUGGUUAACUUGGUGCAAACAAAUGAAUUCAGUAUCACGGCGGAACACCAUAUUCUUGUACUACUAAAUAAUGUCUGCAUCUUUUUUGCUUGUUGGUGCAAGAUAAUAAACCAAAUAAAGUGAAAUCAUGGAAUCUAUGUAACAUAAAAUGGCAAGGGCACUGGUAUGCAGGGGAAAAUACACAUGAUCAAAGACUUUGCACAAGAACUGAUUUCACCUGUCUCAUGGGAAAAAAAAAGAUGCAGACUUUGCCUUAAACUCCUUCAACUACAUAAAUCAUGUGGUUGGUGCAACUUAAGACAGGUGUGCCAGAGGCAAUCAUCAUGUUCCAAUCAAGAGUACUCAUUUGGAUAAGCUCUUAGUCUGACAAUAAAGACUGGAGAUGACCCUGAGAGAAGAUAGGGUGUGGUUGGUGGUGGGGGUUGCAAGAGUAGUUGGAAGUUGGAACUACUGAAGUAGCUGUUAGGAAGUCUUAAUCUGGUUCCCAUGGUUGCCAAAUGAUACCGAACAAUCUGAACAUAGCAGACUACCAGGAAAUGGUAUAGCAAAAUGGCCUACCUGACUCACAAGCUACCAGAACAACCACUUGUAUCUAAUAUGCAGAAUGUACAGAAGGGUGAUAUUCUUAACUUACAUAAUAAUAAUAUUGCAUAUUUGUGUCUUUCACCAUGUUAAAAUACCAGUAUGAAAGCACAACGAACAGUAUUCGGGCAAGUAAAAUGUACUACUCCCUCCGUUCCUAAAUAUUUGUCUUUCUAGAGAUUUCAACAAGUGACUACAUACGAAGUAAAAUGAGUGAAUAUACAUUCUAAAAUAUGUCUACAUACAUCCGUAUCUUGUAGUCCAUUUGAAUGUCUAGAAAGACAAAUAUUUAGGAACGGAGGGAGUAUAUGCCAAAUGAGAAAAAAGACAUGAGACUGCAAUACAACUCUGAGCCAAGGCAUGUUAUAUUUUCCAACUCUAAACCUGGUCUUUCUUUGAACUUUUUUUAUUGUAAUAGAGAACAUGAAAUAUUUGAUUAUUAAUAUAUUAUUGUAGCCCAUCGGUUGGUCCUUACUACUGAAUUCUUCUGGCCAACACUUACACUUUUGACUACUGAAAUUAACUCUCAAAAGUCCAACAACUUGGACAUUUAUCAAGCACCAAAUACUCAGAACAUUCGGCGAACAAUAAUAGUACGAAGUCACAGGUCCAUCGUACAAUCAAUUGGAUUGACAGGCAGGAUAAUCUACUAACAGUGGACACCAAUAAUAAUACUCCAUUACACAUGGCACUUGAUUUGAGAUAUCUACAGUGUAACAAUUUCAAAUAUACCCACUUCAGCUCUUUUCCCUCAUAGCUGAUACGCAAAUUGUAAUCUAACACCAUAUGCAGUACAGAAAAGGAAAAGGAAAAGGAAAACCCUGAAUGACCCAUCUGGGAACUGCUAUUGGCUAUUUGACUUGAUAUACUGAAGAAAAGUACUAUGCAUGAUGGAUCUCAUGCAAGGUAUAAAUAGCAUCUCAUAAGCACAAUGUAAAAUGAAACUCAGGCAACAAAUACCCAGAAACUAAUAUAUGCUCUAGGUUAUACAGCAAAAUUUCUCCUAAAGUCCACAUACCUUUGAUAGAAAUUCUUCUUUUGUUAACUUAUAGUUACUGUCUGCAUGGUUCUUUGCUACAGCACGUUCGUCAGACCAGAAAAUGUACCAUUUAGACCAAUCCAGGGUCUUGUUGUAUGGCACUUCACAAAGUUUCCUUUUCAUAAAUUAAAAACAAGAUAUUUCAGAUGCAAUAAUGCAAACUGUAUUGAAAAUUCUUGCACAGAAACAUAUAUAGCAUAUUAGCUAACAAAGAAUAGCAAAAUUCAUUACCUCAAAAAACUGACAAGGGGCCCUCCAGAUAGGGCAAUAGCGAAGUAUCCCCUUUCUUUAACAGAGAUUUCUGAAACUUGGGAGAUAUACUCAGCUAGAUCUGUUACUAUCUCAUCUGAACUCUCAAAAAUCCUUAUUUCACUGUUUAGUUUUGGCUCAUAUGAGGCAGCCAUUUCCCUCUCCAUUGUUUGCUUCAGCCUAGAACUCUACCGAGUUAUUACCACACCAAAUAAUCCUGCACAAAAAGCACCAAUAUAUUAUCAACAAGGAGGUCCAGCAGAAGUGAUCCAACUCGUGCACAGAACAUCAGAAUUUAAGAAAACUGCAACAUAGUUACAUAAUCUAGCUUUCAGCAAGGCACCAAAAUCUUGAAAAGCAAAAUAAAAUCUAUCCUGCAAAAUAUCAUGUACAGAACAUCAGAACUUAAGAAAACUUCAAAGUUCAAUCAUGGAAACAGUUCUUAAGUUCCUAAUAGUUUCAUGUUGAAAAAGAGAGAUAAUCUCUAAUAGCUUCAGCCAGAAAGAUGCCAAAACGGUGAACAGAGGCAUGUGAUCAAUCCUAUACAAUAUCAUCACCUAAUCCCAUACACCCUGUUAUCCUAUAUAGUGCAUAUCACCAUCAUAGCAGCGCUUUCCUUAUUAACUGGGAUGUCACAAUUGACAAUUGGCAGUGAAAGAUAACCUCCAUCAACCAAUAUUAAAACAUGCAUCAGCAAGGCUAUUUUGUCACUUUUAUGUUAACUGACUAUACAAUUAGAAAUAUCAUGCAUAACCUCAAAUGUGUAAAAUAAACCUGCGGUAGAAUAUUACAACAUGGGGCCACCUUCUAGAACACAGAAGAGUGACAAUCGAGGAAACUGGAAAAGCAAGUAGAUAACAUGUUCAUUUUUUUAAUAUGGCAUCCUUCUACAAGCUAUGUUUGGACUUUCAGAUAGCAUAACAGGACAAAUUGCCAACUUGCAGGGGAAAUGGUUAGAGAACUACUACUGUGUUUGUAGAGCUUGACCAGAAGGAAAUAGUUUUAAAGAAAAGAGUUUGCACACAACAUCAAAACACCUAAAAAAAAUGAACAUAAACGCCUUUCACGUCAACCUGAGGAAGCAUAGAUUUGCUGUAUAAUAUGAUGUGACAGCAAAUCUAAUUCAAUUUGCUAAUAUACAUGAGAUGAUAGAUCUACCAUUGAUCUAAAUCAUUCUACUAAUCUACUUUGGCAUUCCCUGUAAAUUUUGGAACAGCUGGAACUCACUGUCAACCCACGGUUGGCAGAGUAAAACAGAGCACUGCACAUGAACAUGUCGCCAAAACGACAGAUCCGAAAUUCAGAUGCAAAUGAUCUCUUGUGAACUAAUACACGUGGCCCUAGGUUCCCAAACCAAUUAAGAUAAAAUGACAUAAAUCCAAAGCAUCGUAGUAUAGGCGUAAUCACCAAAACUGAACCUCCAACGAUAUUACUCUGAAAUAAGAAAAGGCAUAGCAGCAUGAGUAAUCUCAGCUUUACACACAAGAGUAUCACACAAUUAGUAACACUGGUCUAGAGAAGUAGAGAGCAUAAAUACUGGAGUACCUCCGUCCCGAAUUAUAAGAUGUUUUGGAUAUUUCAAUAUGGACUACCAACAGACUAAAAUGAGUGAACAAACACACUGAAACGCGUCUAUAUACAUCCAAUUCAAAAAAAAAAAGUUAGAACAGCUUAUAGUUUCAAACGAGGAAGCAGGUCAUUAAAAGAUAAUACGCUGGCUUCUACUGGUGCUAACUGCUAAGCUUAACUCAACUCUGUAAACAGCAUUGGGGAAGAAAAACUAGCAAGGGAAAGUGCAGCUGCAAGGUUUAGCGGACACCAUUUGAGCCGAGACGAGUUGAAAGAUUCCAAAGCAUUGUUGCUGUGGAGUCGCAACAAAAGCGCACCAGUGAAAGAAAAGAGAAGAAAAAGGCAGGAACGCCGCAGUGAAACCCGCUCUAGAUGCCAGGCUGAAAAAGGCGCCGCUUCCUUUGGCCCGUUCCGCCCUUAUCCCGCUGGG
rnacentral:lncRNA from 1 species